UAGAAACUGAAGUAGUGAACGGGUGAGUAAAAGCCUGUUUUGGAUAUUCAUAAUGUUCCCUUUGAACCGAGCUUUAAACAGCCUUCAUAAAUGUCCCAGCUGGCUCUGACGGAAAUGUCAAAGGUUAAAAUUUUAGGCCUACGUUGCUGUUUGAAACAGGUCUUUGUGGUGCGAGCCAUAGCCUCAGAGAGACCCAGCUGUGGGAGAUGAGAGCAGAUUCCCUGACAAGGACAGACAGAGUUCAAUGGCUGGACAUCAACCUCUCAGACAUCUCUGCUUUCGCACUCAGGGAGAGCAUACAGCUGAUUCAAGAUGAUAGCAUGCCCAAGAGCUCCGUCCAGACCAGAACAACUGAAUUGCUUUGUCAACUGUAUGUACCCACUGGGGC